UCGAGGAUCUUUGGCAAUGGGCGAAAGCCUGACCAAGCGACGCCGCGUGUGCGAUGAAGGCCUUCGGGUUGUAAAGCACUGUCGAGGGGGAGGAAGCCGCAAGGUUGACCUAUCCCUGGAGGAAGCACGGGCUAAGUUCGUGCCAGCAGCCGCGGUAAGACGAACCGUGCAAACGUUGUUCGGAAUCACUGGGCUUAAAGGGCGCGUAGGCGGGUUCCCAAGUCUGUGGUGAAAGCCUCCAGCUUAACUGGAGAAGUGCCGUGGAUACUGGGAGUCUCGAGGAGGGUAGGGGCAUCUGGAACAGCCGGUGGAGCGGUGAAAUGCGUUGAUAUCGGCUGGAACUCCGAUGGCGAAGGCAAGGUGCUGGACCCUUUCUGACGCUGAGGCGCGAAAGCCAGGGGAGCAAACGGGAUUAGAUACCCCGGUAGUCC
rnacentral:rRNA from 1 species